CCUACGGUAGGCAGCAGUGGGGCAUAUUGGGCAAUGGAGGCAACUCUGACCCAGCAACGCCGCGUGAUCGAUGAAGGUCUUCGGAUUGUAAAGCUCUUUAAGCGGGGACGAAGAAAGUGACUGUACCCGCAGACUAAGCCUCGGCUAACUACGUGCCAGCAGCCGCGGUAAUACGUAGGAGGCACGCGUUAUCCGUAAUGACUGGUCGUAAAGGGUGCGUAGGUGGUUUGGCAAGUUGGUAGCGUAAUCCCGGGGAGCAACCUCGGUGCUACUACCAAAACUGUUGAACUUGAGUGCAGGAGGGGUGAAUGGAAUUCCCAGUGUAGCGGUGGAAUGCGUAGAUAUUGGGAAGAACACCAGCGGCGAAGGCGAUUCACUGGACUGUAACUGACACUGAGGCACGGAAGCGUGGGGAGCAAACAGGAUUAGAUACCCCAGUAGUC
rnacentral:rRNA from 1 species